rnacentral:rRNA from 1 species
UACAGAGGUCUCGAGCGUUGUUCGGAUUCAUUGGGCGUAAAGGGUGCGUAGGCUGCGGGGUAAGUCUGAUGUGAAAUCCCGGGGCUCAACCCCGGAACUGCAUUGGAUACUGCCUUGCUAGAGCACUGGAGAGGAGACUGGAAUUUACGGUGUAGCAGUGAAAUGCGUAGAGAUCGUAAGGAAGACCAGUGGCGAAGGCGGUUACCUGGGCUUGUUCUGACGCUGAGGCACAAAAGCUGGGGGAGCAAACGGG